rnacentral:rRNA from 1 species
GUGGAUUAGAUACCCUAGUAGUCCACGCUGUAAACGUUGAUAACUCGAUGUUGGCGAUAUACAGUCAGCGUCCAAGCGAAAGCGUUAAGUUAUCCACCUGGGGAGUACGCCGGCAACGGUGAAACUCAAAGGAAUUGACGGGGGCCCGCACAAGCGGUGGAGCAUGUGGUUUAAUUCGAUGAUACGCGAGGAACCUUACCUGGGCUUAAAUGGGAUCGGACAGUUGCAGAAAUGCGAUCUCCCUUCGGGGCUGAUUUCAAGGUGCUGCACGGCCGUCGACAGCU